AACAAGAUGAUUUUGUUUUUACUACAUGAUGAAUACUCGGACCCCGAUGCAGCCCUACCUAAGUAACUCGCUGGCCAUCCGACAGGAAAUACAGAGGUUUGAGAGUGUUCAUCCGUCUAUCUAUGCUAUUUAUGACCUGAUUGAUGCAAUACCGGAUCACCUUAUUCAGCAGCAAAUACGGGAGCACGUCGUCUGUAUAGAGGAUUCCUUUGUCAACAGUCAAGAAUGGACACUCAGUCGUUCAGUCCCAGAUCUCAAAUUGGGAAUUCUGGGAAGUGUUCACAGUGGGAAGUCGGCUCUGGUUCACCGGUACUUGACUGGUUCUUACAUGCAGGAGGAAUCACCAGAGGGUGGAAGAUUCAAGAAGGAGGUGAUCAUUGAUGGUCAGAGUUAUUUGCUUCUGAUUCGAGAUGAAGGGGGAUCCCCAGAGUUACAGUUUACGCAGUGGGUGGAUGCCGUGAUCUUUGUCUUUAGUCUGGAGAAUGAGAUGAGUUUCCAGACUGUGUACAGUUACUAUGCCAAGAUGUGCCAUUACAGGAACUCAGCAGAAAUCCCACUCAUUCUUGUCGGGACUCAAGAUUCAAUAAGUGAGAGUAACCCCCGUGUGAUUGAUGAUACCCGCGCCAGAAAGUGUGCCACAGACCUUAAGCGCUGUUCCUACUACGAGACGUGUGCCACUUACGGACUCAACGUGGAAAGGGUUUUCCAAGAUGCAUGCCAGAAGAUAGUCCAGGUCCGGUACCCCUCACUACCCUCCACUAUUCCCAGUAUGCCCCCUGUUCCCAGCACCCCCAUCCAUGCCCAUCGAGCUUACUACAUCAGCCAGCCAGUUGCCAACAAACCAUUUGACACCCACAGUACGAGUAGUCAGUCCACAUCAAGCUCGGGAACCUUAGUCAGCAGCAACACACCCAAUAGCAGCACACAGAAUGUGGCACAGGUACAGCCAAAUGUGAAAGAAAUGUCUAAAGACACUAGAGAGAAAUCAGACAAGAAGAAGGAUAAGCAGUCACAGGAUGUGGAUCAGGGAGAUAGGGUAGACCUAGCCACCUCUACACCACUGUCAGCCCGUAAAAACAAGAAAUCCUCCAUUAUACAGAAGUCCAAUUCCUUCAGUGGUGCGACUGAUAGCCGACACUCCAACACCUCAGUGACCACCCCUAUUCUCCAUCGGAAAAAUUCCAAGUUUUUAAAAUCCAGCUUUAAGACUCCUGACAGUGAAAUGGGAUCAUAUUCCUUCAUCAAGGAUAAAAUGGAUAAAUAUCUGAUGGAAUUAGAAAUUCAUGAGAACACCUCCCCUGUAACUCCGACAGCCUCGCGAGUUUCCAACAAGGGGCGGUCCAGCCUUGUUCUUGAAAAAUCUGAUAGCAAAGAUCUUCCGACUCCAAGCAGUACCCCUACUCAGAGUCGAAAAAACCGUCGCAGGUCUAACCUGUUUAAUCCUAAAAAUAAAGAGGAUGAGAAAAAGGGGGCAUCUUUAGAGGCGGAGAAACUAGGAAGUGGGCGUGUCAUCCCAAUUAAACAGGGGUACCUGUAUAAGAAGAGUCAUGGUUUGAAUAAGGAAUGGAAGAAGAAGUAUGUCACACUGCUUGAUGAUGGAAGACUGACAUACCACCCAAGUCUACAUGAUUACAUGGAUGAUGUCCAUGCAAAGGAGAUAAAUCUGAUCCACACAACGGUCAAAAUUCCUGGCCUUCGGCCUCGGACAACUAAGACCGUUCCUGUUUAUCCAGCUCAGCAUCCAAACCAAGACGCUAAAGGUGAAAGUAAAACUAGCUUCUCCUUGAGUGGGAAAAGUAAAGAUAAGGAAAACGUUCGUCUAACAGGAUUUGAUGUCAUUCGCGAGCGUCACAACUCCAAUUCUGAUGCGCCAUUCAUUAAUUCAGUAACAGGUGCUCUUGAAGGUGUUGCCAAUGGUGAUGGAAUUUUGUCCAAACUGAAUGGGAACAGUAUAGGGUCCAAGAUAGAAACGCCCAAUGUCAAGAAACGACAUCGAAGGGCGAAGAGUGGCGGACUCAAAAACGUCGGUGAUGGAGAUGAUUCAGAUGGUUAUGAAUUUAUGAUUGUCUCCCUUGAAAACAAACAGUGGCAUUUUGAAGCUGGGGAUUCCCAGGAGAGGGAUGAAUGGAUCAAUGCAAUAGAACAACAGAUUCUAAAUUCCCUCCAGGGAAAUGAAAUCAGCAAGUCUAACAAACGCAGCACACAAUCUGACCCUGCGGGGAUGCAAGCAAUACGCACAGUUAGGGGGAACAACUCAUGUGCUGACUGUGGAGCUCCAAAUCCUGACUGGGCCAGUAUUAAUCUAGGAACAAUAGUAUGUAUAGAGUGCUCAGGGAUCCACAGAAACCUCGGGACUCAUCUGUCACGAGUCAGAUCACUAGACUUAGAUGAAUGGCCGCCUGACCUAGUUAGAGUAAUGAUGUCUAUAGGAAAUGGCAUAGCUAAUAGUGUAUGGGAACAUACCAUAAAGAAUAGAUCAAAACCAGGCCCCACUUCUCCUAGGGAUGAAAAGGAGAAAUGGAUUAGGGCCAAAUACGAAGCAAAAGAAUUUUUGCCCCCUCCUCCUUAUCUAGAUAUAGCCCUUAAUCAGCAAUUAAUAGAUGCAUUAGUGCGAGAGGAUAUUAGGAAUAUUAUUCUAGUGCUGGGUCACAGUCGCCCAGAGGAUAUAAAUUGUCCAUACAGUAAAGAUGAUGGAAGGACAGCACUCCACAUUGCAGCAGCCCUAGGAAAUGUGGUUUAUGUUCAGCUCCUACUUUGGUACAACGCCAAUGUGAAGGUGGUGGACCAUGAAGGGAGAAACGCUUUGUGGUACGCAAGAAGUUCAGGUUCUAAUGAGUGUGUAGAACUACUAAUGAACAAUGGUUGUCCAGAACACCCGACAUUACCAAGGCGACGGGGAAGCAGUGCUCAAGCUGGAAAAAAUGACGUUUUUGAAAAAUUACCCGCCAGUGUUAUUUAAGUGUUACCAUGGUUACUCUGCUUGUUUACUGCCAAUGUCAACCAUAGUCGUACUUUUCUUUGUGGACUAGAGGUGAAGUAGUGAAGAAGUGUGAAAUCCAAAAGUUUAUUAGUACACAAAUGGCUCAAAUGUUCUUUCUCAUCAUGGAUUACUGCUAGACAAAGAAAUUGAUAUUAUUAUAUCAGGAUAAAUUUUGAAGAGCAAACCCUUUCUCUUAUGCAGUAUCUUCCUUUGUUUCAAAAUGAAUCUCAAGAGUUCAGUAGGUAAAUGCAUUAUCAAUAGGAAAAUGCAUUGUUUAAAAGUAUCAUGUUGGUUGUCAAGAAUUUUUGUGAUAUGAGUUAACAGUUGUAAAAUGUUAGAAGUUCCAUGUCACACUGGCUUUAGUGAAAAUCUAUAUAAGUCAGUAUAUAUCAACUUAUUUACUGCAAUACAUAUAUUUUAUUUAUAGAAAUAUAUCAGUGACGUUGUCGAUAUUUAUUGAGCGAUUGUGAGACCUUUUACCUGUACAUGUAUGAUGAUUGCAGGCUUUGGUCAGUCGAAAUGAAGGUUGAAAGCAUAGAAUUUUUAAGCACAGUUAAGGGUUAAUUUUUGAUAACAGUAUUUAUGCAUGUAAGAGUUUUUUGCAGGUUUAGAUUUAUUGAUAUACCGAUACUGUGUUUUCCUAGAUAAACUCUGUAUUCAGUAUUUAAAUAUGCACACAAUCUAUGUACAUUGUAGGUUAAAUCUUUCUUGUGUUUCUCAGUCUAUGUGCCUUCGUUAAGAAAUUCUAGUUUUAUAUUUUAUUAGAAUGUCGCUGCUUUAAGUCUCCAGUCUUCAAAACUUUUGAGUUCUUGUAAGAUUUGCCAGGUUGUGAUGUUAAACCAUAUUUAUUACUGUAUAUCACAGAAAAAAGGCAAAAGAAAUAGUAUUGUGUACGAUAAGAUUUAGCUAACACUAGGCUCCCUAACUUUUUUAUUUUGUAAAACAUAUCCAAGCCUGUACCCAGAGAUUUCAGUUUAUUUCUCAUCAUUCUGUACAUAGGCUGAUGAUUUGUCCAAGGAAAUGCAUCAUUUGAUAUCGUUGGCCAUAUCGGCAAAUAUGUGCAAUAUGAAUAGGCUUCUGUUGGCAUUACUCAGCAUUUGAUGUCAGUAUUUCAGUAGAUCUUGACCAGUCAUUUUCUUCAUCCAUGAUGCACAGUUCUGAGUGAUUUGAACGCUAAAAUACAGCUAAAAUUGUAUUUUUUAAUCAGUUUUACAUGUUGGAUCAUAUAGGAAUAAAAUGCAAGGUUAAUGUUUGUAAACAAAGUUUAGACCAUAUACAUGUACCAUUAUUGUACAAAACCUUUUAUUUUUGUGAAAUUCUAAACUAAAUUAAUGUGUAGUUGUGAACUUAACAUUUUUUUAUGCAACAUUUUGGCCUGAGUGAAUGUUUGUUGAUUUGCAAGGACUCUCAUGUUUAACACUUUCUGCAAAGAACCGCAAUGUCUCAUUCUAGUAAUUUACCAAAAAUGACAAACUCUAGCAAAAGUCUUGCCGCUGUUUCUCGCUGAAUACUCCACAGUACAAUCCCAUGCUUAUAAUCAUGCUGUAGUCCCAUCAUCCAUUGAACAGCUGGAGUGAGUGCCAGUGUACGAAUGAGAGUGUUUCAUUGAUAGGUUCCUUGUGUAUGUAUUAGUGUGAACAGAGGUCACAGAAUUAAAGAUGUGGAAAUCUCAA